rnacentral:rRNA from 1 species
UACGUAGGGGGCAAGCGUUGUCCGGAAUCAUUGGGCGUAAAGAGCGCGUAGGCGGCCCUGUAAGUCCGCUGUGAAAGUCAAGGGCUCAACCCUUGGAUGCCGGUGGAUACUGCAGGGCUAGAGUCCGGAAGAGGCGAGUGGAAUCCUGGUGUAGCGGUGAAAUGCGCAGAUAUCAGGAGGAACACCGGAUGGCGAAGGCAGCUCGCUGGGACGGUAGCUGACGCUGAGGCGCGAAAGCGUGGGGAGCAAACAGG